rnacentral:rRNA from 2 species
UAGGGAAUCUUCCACAAUGGACGCAAGUCUGAUGGAGCAACGCCGCGUGAGUGAAGAAGGUUUUCGGAUCGUAAAGCUCUGCUGUUGGUGAAGAAGGAUAGAGGCAGUAACUGGUCUUUAUUUGACGGUAAUCAACCAGAAAGUCACGGCUAACUACGUGCCAGCAGCCGCGGUAAUACGUAGGUGGCAAGCGUUGUCCGGAUUUAUUGGGCGUAAAGCGAGCGCAGGCGGAAUGAUAAGUCUGAUGUGAAAGCCCACGGCUCAACCGUGGAACUGCAUCGGAAACUGUCAUUCUUGAGUGCAGAAGAGGAGAGUGGAAUUCCAUGUGUAGCGGUGGAAUGCGUAGAUAUAUGGAAGAACACCAGUGGCGAAGGCGGCUCUCUGGUCUGCAACUGACGCUGAGGCUCGAAAGCAUGGGUAGCGAACAGG